AGAACAGGCACCGCACCAUCUCUCACCACGGCUCGGCCAACCAAUAGCCGUUCGAGUCCCAGCACUAGGGCCUGCCUAUUGGUCCUAGAGCUGUGGGGGCGCACGCAUGGCAGCUGCCUAGGCGGAGGCGAUAGGGGACCAGGCGGGUGGAGUGUCCCACAGCCUCAGUGCCUGACCCGUGCUCGUCCUGGCUGUGAUAGUACAGUAGGAGGCAGUGAUAGGAAGCAGAAUCGGAGCGUGAGGGAAAACGCAGGGUCAGGUCGAUGACUGAAAGCUCAGUUACUAGCGCGGGAGAGAUGGAGGGAAGCGGAGGCGGCCAUGAGAAAAAGAGGAAUAUAAAAAAAGGGAAGGUGGCGGCGACGGGCACCUCAAACCUGUAACUGGCCGGUAGCCGAAACCAGCGCUUUCCCGAGAUUUACCCAUUAGUGUAAAUGGCUCCGGUCACCUGCGUCUCUCUCUCUUGUGUGCGACAUCCAUUGCAUACUGGAUUCUCUCUGAAAUGUGCCUCUCCUGCGUCUUCUAGACAGAGCCCAGGCGGGCGUGCAGUAAUGGGUCCGGAAUUGGAGGGUUCUUGGUCUCACUGACUUCAAGAAUGAAGCCGUGGACUCUCGCGGUGAGUGUUAACAGCUCUUAAGGUGGCGCGUCUGGAGUCUGUCCCUUGUGAUGUUCAGAUGUGUUCGGAGUUUCUUUCUUCUGGUGGGUUCGUGGUCUCGCUGGCUCAGGAGUGAAGCUGCAGACCUUCGCGGUGAGUGUUAUAGCUCUUAAGGCAGCGCGUCCGGAGUUUUUCGUUCCUCCCAGUGGGCUCUUAGUCUUGCUGGGCUCAGGAGUGAAGCUGCAGACCUUCGUGGUGAGUGUUACAGCUCAUAAAAGCAGCGUGGACCCAAAGAGUGAGCAGUAGCAAGAUUUAUUGCAAAGAGCAAAAAAACCAAGCUUCCACAGUGUGGAAGGGAACCC
rnacentral:lncRNA from 10 species